rnacentral:snRNA from 1 species
CGGGUUAAAAUCUAGUACAGU